AUUGAACGCUGGCGGCAGGCCUAACACAUGCAAGUCGAGCGGAGCGGCGGGCGGGUGAGAAAUGUCUGGGACACUGUCUGAGGGGGGGGGAACACUACGGGAAACGGGCGAUAAUCCCGCAUACUAUCAGAUGAGCCUAGGUGGGUUUGGCUAGUUGGUGGGGUAAAGGCCUACCAAGGCGACGAUCCGUAACUGGUCUGAGAGGAUGAUCAGUCACACUGGAACUGAGACACGGUCCAGACUCCUACGGGAGGCAGCAGUGGGGAAUAUUGGACAAUGGGCGAAAGCCUGAUCCAGCCAUGCCGCGUGUGUGAAGAAGGUCUUCGGAUUGUAAAGCACUUUAAGUUGGGAGGCGUUACCAACAGAAUAAGCACCGGCUAACUUCGUGCCAGCAGCCGCGGUAAUUC
rnacentral:rRNA from 1 species